AGUGAACGCUGGCGGUAGGCCUAACACAUGCCAGUCGAACGGCAGCACAGUAAGAGCUUGCUCUUACGGGUGGCGAGUGGCGGACGGGUGAGGAAUACAUCGGAAUCUACUUUUUCGUGGGGGAUAACGUAGGGAAACUUACGCUAAUACCGCAUACGACCUACGGGUGAAAGCAGGGGAUCUUCGGACCUUGCGCGAUUGAAUGAGCCGAUGUCGGAUUAGCUAGUUGGCGGGGUAAAGGCCCACCAAGGCGACGAUCCGUAGCUGGUCUGAGAGGAGGACCACCAACACUAGACCUGAAACACGGUCCAGACCCCUACGGGAGCCACCAGUGGGGAUGUUUGAACAAUGGGCCCAACCCUGACCCACCAAUCCCGCGGGGUGAAAAAAGGCUUUCGGUUUGUAAACCCUUUUUGUGGGAAAAAAAAACCAGGAGGUUAAUCCCCCCCUGUCCUGACGUUACCAAAAAAAAAAGCACCGACUAACUUCUUC
rnacentral:rRNA from 1 species